rnacentral:tRNA from 1 species
GUCUGAGUAGUUUAGUGGUAGAACAUUCGCCCGGCAAGCGGAAGACCCGGGUUCAAUUCCCGGCUUAGCCA